rnacentral:lncRNA from 1 species
GACUGUGGAUGUAAGUUUUUGGCAGCUGGUCAUUCUGUUCAAAAGGAGGAGCCCUCAGACUUUGUUUCAGAGUAUGGUUCAUCUGCCGGGUAAGUAAUGAUAACACCUAUCCGAUCGGCGCAGCAUUUUGUAACAAGAUUCGGGCUGCCCAACUUCAGGGUGUCACUGUAGCAUUUCGUUUGUAUUUGUAAAUUAUUGUCCAAAUAUUGACUAAUUAGGCUCAAAAGAUUCGUCUCGCAAAGUACAGCAAAACUGUGCAAUUAAUUUUUUGAUUUCGUCUACAUUCAGUACUCUAUGCAUAUACCGCAAGUUUGAUGAUGGGAAAUCUUCUUUUUGCAUAAUGCCAAAGUUAGGAUUUUGGAGUGAACUAAAUAUGGCCUCGAUAAAGCACUUGAUGAGAUUUUACAUUCUGACACGACAGAAUAUUAUAACAGCUUGUGUAAAUGGCAGAUCGCUAGCAGUAAUAACUAAUUGUGACAACAGAUUCAGCUCACGGCCAAAGUAACGGGAGACACGUAAACGUACAUGCUGAAUACAAAUCUUAUUCGUCGUUUUGUAGUGCUUCAUUCUCAAAGGUCCAGAGACAUGCGAGUUUCCAUCCGGGGAAGAUGAUUUAGGAGGCAGGAGUGAACUUGAUCGAGACACUGUUCACGCAGUGGCGCUCAUCCGUGGGUGUCUUGAAGCCUUCUCCCUUGAAUACAUGGCCC